UGGGGAACUUUGGACAAUGGGGGCAACCCUGAUCCAGCAAUGCCGCGUGUGUGAAGAAGGCCUUCGGGUUGUAAAGCACUUUUGUCCGGAAAGAAAACGCCGUGGUUAAUACCCGUGGCGGAUGACGGUACCGGAAGAAUAAGCACCGGCUAACUACGUGCCAGCAGCCGCGGUAAUACGUAGGGUGCAAGCGUUAAUCGGAAUUACUGGGCGUAAAGCGUGCGCAGGCGGUCCGCUAAGACAGAUGUGAAAUCCCCGGGCUUAACCUGGGAACUGCAUUUGUGACUGGCGGGCUAGAGUAUGGCAGAGGGGGGUAGAAUUCCACGUGUAGCAGUGAAAUGCGUAGAGAUGUGGAGGAAUACCGAUGGCGAAGGCAGCCCCCUGGGCCAAUACUGACGCUCAUGCACGAAAGCGUGGGGGAGCAAACAGGAUUCAGAUACCCUGGUAGUCCACGCCCUAAACGAUGUCAACUAGUUGUCGGGUCUUCAUUGACUUGGUAACGUAGCUAACGCGUGAAGUUGACCGCCGGGGGAGUACGGUCGCAAGAUU
rnacentral:rRNA from 1 species